UACAGAGGUCUCAAGCGUUGUUCGGAUUCAUUGGGCGUAAAGGGUGUGUAGGUGGCACCGUAAGUCGGGUGUGAAAUUUCGGAGCUUAACUCCGAAACUGCAUUCGAUACUGCGGUGCUUGAGGACUGGAGAGGAGACUGGAAUUCAUGGUGUAGCAGUGAAAUGCGUAGAGAUCAUGAGGAAGACCAGUGGCGAAGGCGGGUCUCUGGACAGUUCCUGACACUGAGACACGAAGGCCAGGGGAGCAAACGGG
rnacentral:rRNA from 1 species